rnacentral:rRNA from 1 species
GAUGAACGCUGGCGGCGUGCCUAAUACAUGCAAGUCGAGCGAAUGGAUUAAGAGCUUGCUCUUAUGAAGUUAGCGGCGGACGGGGGAGUAACACGUGGGUAACCUGCCCAUAAGCCUGGGAUAACUCCGGGAAACCGGGGCGAAUACCGGAUACCAUUUUGAACCGCAUGGUUCGAAAUGGAAAGGCGCCUUCGGCUGUCACUUAUGGAUGGACCCGCGUCGCAUUAGCUAGUUGGUGAGGUAACGGCUAACCAAGGCAACGAUGCGUAGCCGACCUGAGAGGGUGAUCGGCCACACUGGGACUGAGACACGGCCCAGACUCCUACGGGAGGCAGCAGUAGGGAAUCUUCCGCAAUGGACGAAAGUCUGACGGAGCAACGCCGCGUGAGUGAUGAAGGCUUUCGGGUCGUAAAACUCUGUUGUUAGGGAAGAACAAGUGCUAGUUGAAUAAGCUGGCACCUUGACGGUACCUAACCAGAAAGCCACGGCUAACUACGUGCCAGCCGCCGCCGUAA